rnacentral:rRNA from 1 species
GACGAACGCUGGCGGCGUGCUUAACACAUGCAAGUCGAACGGAAAGGCCCUGCUUUUGUGGGGUGCUCGAGUGGCGAACGGGUGAGUAACACGUGAGUAACCUGCCCUUGACUUUGGGAUAACUUCAGGAAACUGGGGCUAAUACCGGAUAGGAGCUCCUGCUGCAUGGUGGGGGUUGGAAAGUUUCGGCGGUUGGGGAUGGACUCGCGGCUUAUCAGCUUGUUGGUGGGGUAGUGGCUUACCAAGGCUUUGACGGGUAGCCGGCCUGAGAGGGUGACCGGCCACAUUGAGACUGAGAUACGGCCCAGACUCCUACGGGAGGCAGCAGUGGGGAAUAUUGCACAAUGGGCGGAAGCCUGAUGCAGCAACGCCGCGUGCGGGAUGACGGCCUUCGGGUUGUAAACCGCUUUCGCCUGUGACGAAGCGUGAGUGACGGUAAUGGGUAAAGAAGCACCGGCUAACUACGUGCCAGCAGCCGCGGUGAUACGUAGGGUGCGAGCGUUGUCCGGAUUUAUUGGGCGUAAAGGGCUCGUAGGUGGUUGAUCGCGUCGGAAGUGUAAUCUUGGGGCUUAACCCUGAGCGUGCUUUCGAUACGGGUUGACUUGAGGAAGGUAGGGGAGAAUGGAAUUCCUGGUGGAGCGGUGGAAUGCGCAGAUAUCAGGAGGAACACCAGUGGCGAAGGCGGUUCUCUGGGCCUUUCCUGACGCUGAGGAGCGAAAGCGUGGGGAGCGAACAGGCUUAGAUACCCUGGUAGUCCACGCUGUAAACGGUGGGUACUAGGUGUGGGGUCCAUUCCACGGGUUCCGUGCCGUAGCUAACGCUUUAAGUACCCCGCCUGGGGAGUACGGCCGCAAGGCUAAAACUCAAAGGAAUUGACGGGGCCCCGCACAAGCGGCGGAGCAUGCGGAUUAAUUCGAUGCAACGCGUAGAACCUUACCUGGGUUUGACAUGGAUCGGGAGUGCUCAGAGAUGGGUGUGCCUCUUUUGGGGUCGGUUCACAGGUGGUGCAUGGCUGUCGUCAGCUCGUGUCGUGAGAUGUUGGGUUAAGUCCCGCAACGAGCGCAACCCUUGUUCACUGUUGCCAGCACGUUAUGGUGGGGACUCAGUGGAGACCGCCGGGGUCAACUCGGAGGAAGGUGGGGAUGACGUCAAAUCAUCAUGCCCCUUAUGACCUGGGCUACACACGUACUACAAUGGGAGUUAAUAGACGGAAGCGAGAUCGCGAGGUGGAGCAAACCCGAGAAACACUCUCUCAGUUCGGAUCGUAGGCUGCAACUCGCCUACGUGAAGUCGGAAUCGCUAGUAAUCGCAGGUCAGCAUACUGCGGUGAAUACGUUCCCGGGCCU